rnacentral:rRNA from 1 species
GGGGAAUUUUGGACAAUGGGGGCAACCCUGAUCCAGCCAUGCCGCGUGAGUGAAGAAGGCCUUCGGGUUGUAAAGCUCUUUCGGCCGGGAAGAAAUCGUGCAGGCUAAUACCCUGUAUGGAUGACGGUACCGGAAUAAGAAGCACCGGCUAACUACGUGCCAGCAGCCGCGGUAAUACGUAGGGUGCGAGCGUUAAUCGGAAUUACUGGGCGUAAAGCGUGCGCAGGCGGUUUUGUAAGACAGGCGUGAAAUCCCCGGGCUCAACCUGGGAACUGCGCUUGUGACUGCAAGACUAGAGUACGGCAGAGGGGGGUGGAAUUCCACGUGUAGCAGUGAAAUGCGUAGAGAUGUGGAGGAACACCAAUGGCGAAGGCGACUUUCUGGUCUGCAACUGACGCUGAGGCGCGAAAGCAUGGGGAGCAAACA